rnacentral:rRNA from 1 species
UAAAACCCUUUUCUCUCCGGAGAAGAGAGUGAUAGGAAACCUCUCCAUGGAAGCUCUCGACGAAUGACGAGCCCACGGCCCAUCAGCUUGUUAAUAAAAUAAUGGCCCACCAACUCUACGACGGGUAGCUGGUCUGAGAGGAUGAUCAGCCACACUGGAACUAAAACACGGUCCAGAGCGUCCUACGAAAAACAGCAGUAAAAAAUAUUACGCAAUAAAAGAAAGCCUGACGCAACGACGCCGCGUGGAUGAUGAAGACCCUCGGGUCGUAGAGCCCUGUCGAAGAAAAACGAAACACCAGCGGGAACAAUAGCCCGUUAGCCUGACGAUACCUCUCCAGAAAGCACCGGCUAACUCCGUGCCAGCGGCCGCGGUAAGACGGAGAAUGCUAACAUUGCUCGGAAUUACUAGGCGUAAAGCGCGUGUAGACGGGUUGGAAAACGAGAUGUGAAAGCCCUCGGCUCAACCGAGGAUGUGCAUUUCGAACUACUAGCCUUGAGUGCGGGAGAAAAAGGUAGAAUUCCCGGUGUAGAGAUGAAAUUCGUAGAUAUCGAGAGGAAUACCAGUGGCGAAGACGGCCUCCUGGACCGACACUGACGCUGAGACGCGAAAGCGUGGGGAGCAAACAGAAUUAGAUACCCUGAUAGUCCACACCGUAAACGAUGAGCACUAGGUGUCGCGGGUAUUGACCCCUGCGGUGCCGAAGCAAACGCGUUAAGUGCCCCGCCUGAGGAGUACGGCCGCAAGGCUAAAACUCAAAGGAAUUGACGGGGACCCGCACAACCGGUGGAGCAUGUGGUUUAAUUCGACGCAACGCGCAGAACCUUACCUGAGCUUGAAAACUGCCGAAUCCGGAUGAAAGUCUGGAGUGCCCGUUAGGGAGCGGUAGCACAGGUGCUGCAUGGCUGUCGUCAGCUCGCGUCGUGAGAUGCUGGGUUAAGUCCCGCAACGAGCGCAACCCCUGCCUCUAGUUGCCAGCACAUCAGGUGGGAACUCUAGAAGGACUGCCGGUGUUAAGCCGGAGGAAGGUGAGGACGACGUCAAGUCCUCAUGGCCCCUAUGUCCAAGGCUACACACGUGCUACAAUGGCCACUACAAAGAGCAGCGAACCCGUGAGGAAGAGCAAAUCUCAAAAAAGUGGUCUCAGUACGGAUAAAAGUCUGCAACUCGACUCCUUGAAGGCGGAAUCGCUAGUAAUCGCUGAUCAGCAGACAGCGGUGAUACGUUCCCGGGUCUUGUACACACCGCCCGUCACACCAUGGAAGUCGGUUGCUCCAGAAGUCGUUGAGCUAACCCGCGAGGGAGGCAGAUGCCCAAGGAGUGACUGAUGA